rnacentral:rRNA from 1 species
GUAGGUGAGUAAUGAAUCGCUAACGUACCCUGGACUCUGGGAUACCUGACCGAAAGGUC